AAAAAGUGAGGAAAAGUGCACAUUUCAUUUCUAGAGCUCAGCCGCAAAAGAAAUGAGCCUGGGAAUGUCUGAUACAUUCUACGACAAGAACAAAGUGCGGGGAUCGGCCAAGUUUUUG
ensembl:ncRNA C41G11.16 ncRNA